CAACUCUACACUCUCAAAAUACUGCUGAAAACACAAUAAUUUCUAUCCAACACCAGGAAUAAUAGACUUCACUCCAACAAUCUGAAUUCACAUACUUUCUGUAAUCACAGACUUCCUUUGUCCAAAACACACACAACUCUCAACAAACAACAAUCAUAAUCUUUCAAUAACUCCUCUUAUAAUUCAAUGACUCAGUACUCCAAUUAUAUAAUCAAUAACUCAUAAAUCAAUCUCUGAUUUAUUCCACAGACUCACUUCUCAGUAUUCAAAAACUAUCCAUUAUUCUUCAAUAACAAAGAAAACAAACAAACAAAGAGACAAAGAAGUAGCACCAAGCUUACCCCGGCUCAUGACUAUCUCAGUCUAGCGCUCCAACAAACUUCUACAAUUCCUAUAUAAUUACUCUUGAUUUCCAAAUUCUAACCGUAAUCUUAUAAUUAA
rnacentral:lncRNA from 1 species